GACGUAGGGCGCAAGCGUUGUCCGGAAUUAUUGGGCGUAAAGAGCUCGUAGGCGGCUUGUCGCGUCGACUGUGAAAACCCGUGGCUCAACCAUGUGGUCUGCAGUCGAUACGGGCAGGCUAGAAUUCGGUAGGGGAGACUGGAAUUCCUGGUGUAGCGGUGAAAUGCGCAGAUAUCAGGAGGAACACCGGUGGCGAAGGCGGGUCUCUGGGCCGAUAUUGACGCUGAGGAGCGAAAGCGUGGGGAGCGAACAGG
rnacentral:rRNA from 1 species